UCCCUCUCAGGAUUGCACCUGGAGAGUUCUCAGUACUCUGCCGGUCUCGGCUAUGAGAAGGAGAGUCAAGCAGAGGCCUACCCAUUCCAUUCCUAGCUUGGGCAGUGGCUAGCGAGUGGAGGACAAUCUGCUACAAGU